ACAUCGAAUUACACUAUAAUUUUCAAGGGAUUCUCCUAAUUAAUAUGGAAGUAAGAUAUUUUUAUAAUUUUUUAAAAUUAUAACUUAUACGACAGAUGAGACAGCCUCAAAGUCAAUGUUUCAUUAUGUAUCAGAUCGUUACAAUAAGGGUGCGUUUGUUUGCUAGAAAAAUAUUUUACGAAAAAUAUUUUCUUGGUUUUAUAGUGUUUGGAAGCCUGAAAACAUUUUCCAUUUGGAAAAUGAUUUCCAGGACACGGGUAAAUUGGCCUUCAAUUUGGGGAAAAUGUCUUACCCUUUUGAAUUCGGUAAGACAUUUUCCAGAAAAAUGAGGCCUUCUUCUCCCCUUUCUCCUUCUCCUCGGGUUGCAAAUCAGUGCCAUUGCCAGGUACCCUACCCUCCGCCCUAAUUCCUCAAGAGCUGCGCUAUUUCGAAGAACGAUGAUGAGAAAGUUUGGUCAAUGACCUUUUCCAGUUCCUCCUCCAUCCAGGAAUUUUGUGAUUUAAUUUCGUUCUUCCUCUGAAGGCCAGGUGGUUGAGGCAUUUAAGAUUUUGACUUCUGAUGAUAAAGUGAAAGCCAUUUUGGUGCAUAUAUUUGGAGGAAUAAUGAAAUGUGAUGUGAUUGCAAGUGGGAUUGUCAAUGCUGCCAAACAGGUGGCCCUAAAGUUCCUAUGGUGGUCCGUCUUGAAGGUACCAAUGUUGACCAAGGAAAGUGAAUUUUGAAGGAAAGUGGAAUGACACUAAUUACAGCAGAAGAUUUGGAUGAUGCUGCAAAGAAAGCAGUUAAAGCUGUCAGCAAAUGAGAAAUUUAAGAUACGAGUCCUUUGUUCUUAUUGUUUCUCAUCUUUCACAGCACUGAUGAGUUUUUCCUUUAUUUUUCUUUUCAUCAAGCCCAUAGAAUCUUGUUAAUGAUAAAGCUGCAGGGGGUUACUGUCCUGCAAAAUUGAUAUAUUUGCGACAUUUUCUCCGGACAGUUGGCAUAUAAUUCAAAGUUGAUAUAACAUCCUUCUUUGAUUUGAGAAAAUAUAGUUUGGAAAUUUUAUGUUAAAUAUUGCAAGGGUUAUGUGCGUGGGCUGAUGGAAGCGAUCACUUUUAAGUUACAACGGUAUUUUUCUUUUCAUCAGGCUCAGUUCCUUUGCCAGGCAAGCAAAGGGAGGUUGAAGGAAGAUGAAGCUAGAAAGUAUUUUCAGCAUCUUAUUAAUGCUGUGGAUUACUGCCACAGCAGGGGUGUUUACCAUCGAGACCUCAAGAUACGGAAACCAGCAGCAAACCAACAGGCAGACCAGCAUCCAAGCUGAACCAGAGAAGCAACAGCAUUUUGUUUAUUUUGUUCAUUUGUAACUUGAUUUAGUUCCUUUGUAAUUUAUACUUAAAGUUAGUAGGAGUAGUUGCUGAUUUAUAUUUAAUGUUAUAGCUGGUAUGUCAGCUACAUUUUGUGUGCAAUUCUAACUAAGCUUUAGUCAUGUAUUAGUGGGAGCAGUUAUACAUUAGAGAACUGCCAUAUUUUAUUGUAACAUAAAUGCUUCUCAAGUAAAUGAAAAUGAUCUGAUUUUUGGAGAUCAAA